UACGAAGGGUGCAAACGUUGCUCGGAAUUAUUGGGCGUAAAGCGCACGUAGGCGGCUAUCUAAGUCGGAUGUGAAAUCCCUCGGCUUAACCAAGGAAGUGCACCCGAAACUGGAUAGCUUGAGUACAGAAGAGGAUCGCGGAAUUCCCGGUGUAGAGGUGAAAUUCGUAGAUAUCGGGAGGAACACCAGUGGCGAAGGCGGCGAUCUGGGCUGAUACUGACGCUGAGGUGCGAAAGCGUGGGGAGCAAAAGGG
rnacentral:rRNA from 1 species